rnacentral:tRNA from 1 species
UGUCAAGGGAUGGGAAUCGAACCCACGACCUUCCGCUUACCGGGCAUAUGCCAUGACCACUAGGCUACCCAAUACAUGAU